AUGAACGCUGGCGGCGUGCCUAACACAUGCAAGUCGAACGAAGCACCUUACCUGAUUCUUCGGAUGAAAGUUUGGUGACUGAGUGGCGGACGGGUGAGUAACGCGUGGGUAACCUGCCCUGUACAGGGGGAUAACAGCUGGAAACGGCUGCUAAUACCGCAUAAGCGCACGAGGAGACAUCUCCUUGUGUGAAAAACUCCGGUGGUACAGGAUGGGCCCGCGUCUGAUUAGCUGGUUGGCAGGGUAACGGCCUACCAAGGCAACGAUCAGUAGCCGGUCUGAGAGGAUGAACGGCCACAUUGGAACUGAGACACGGUCCAAACUCCUACGGGAGGCAGCAGUGGGGAAUAUUGCACAAUGGGGGAAACCCUGAUGCAGCAACGCCGCGUGAGUGAAGAAGUAUUUCGGUAUGUAAAGCUCUAUCAGCAGGGAAGAUAAUGACGGUACCUGACUAAGAAGCUCCGGCUAAAUACGUA
rnacentral:rRNA from 1 species